rnacentral:lncRNA from 1 species
AGUCUAAUAAGUGAGCAAUUAUAACAAAAAAGCUAACAUGAUUAGAGCACAACUGUUUACAUAAAUGACAACUGACCCGAGCAAUUAACGACGGUGUUAGGUAGAUUUACUCCGUUUCGGCAUGUGAAACUGUAACUACGAAGGUCUGUUACUCUUUUUGUUAUCCAUUUACAGGUUGAAAUAGAAAGACGGUCACAGUCAAAACAAUUGCUG